rnacentral:tRNA from 1 species
GGCCGAGUGGCGAAAUGGCAGACGCACAGGAUUUAAAAUCCUGUUCCCCGUUAGGGGAGUGCGGGUUCGAGUCCCGCCUCGGCUA